GCGAUUUCUGCACGGAUUAUUAGAAAUGAUCCUCUCGUCUAAUUCAAUGAGGAGCGAAUAAAUUGUUAUACUAUUGCUACGUAUUGAUAUACAUCUUCACGACUGACUGUGGUCAACUAGUCAUAUUCACUCCUUGGAUACAUAAUGUUGUAAAAACUAUACUUGUUUCUUCUACCUAUAAAGCUAGGCAUAAUCGUACAUAUUUCAUCUAUUAAGAUGCUUUAUGCAAAAUCAAAGACAACAAGAACCUACCUGAUAGCAAAGCGUUUUUUAAAAAUCCAAGUUUGAAAGUUGCUGCUCUUGGAAUUAAACCCAAAAUGCGGUUAACUUAGAAAUAGGAAAAUUAAAAUAUCAAUUACUAUUUUUAACAUUUAAAUUAUAGAACCUUUUUUGCUUCCCUUAUCUCUAAGACUUUAAAUUGUUCACUUUAAAACGAAGAGAUUGAAUUAAACCACCAAAAAAUUAACAUGUCAUAAUACGAUGAAGAAAAGCUCUUUUUAAAAGGUGAUUCGUUUUCCUUCUCUCCUUUCCUUUCCUUGGAAAAGCAUGACAAAGAUACCCACGAUCAUUAUUUACCUUCUAAGUAAUAGAUAAACAUGGUCUAAUGACAAACGAUACAAUUUUCUAUGAGAGCCCUCAAUUGCCAUCAAUAAACCGCCAAAGCUUACAUAAAC